CAGAGCGAUGGCGCAGCGGUGAGAAGCAUCUCUUCAAUGAAAAUUCCGAAAGCUGUUUCCUGGACCAACGACCAGCACUGGGGAGCCUGGGACCUGUGGGACGAGGUGAUCGACUGGGGAGAGAGGAAAGCCCGCUGUUCCUGGGAAAAGCCACCUGCCAAUCAUCCUUGGAGCAGCAGCCAUUCUCAGGAUCUCCUACAUCACAGAUCACCUAAUAAACACAGGACCUGUCGACGACUGGAGAAAAGGAGAAACGCUGAAGCACACUGGGCAUUUUGGAAGCAUUUCAUCAUAAUAAAUUACC